CGUAAGGAAACAGACCCAGAAAAAAGUUGCAGGUAACGAUGUCUUACGUGGAAGCCAAGAUAAUGACUUACUGAUAGAAACCCUGUUUUUUUCCGAGGGUACCAGUUCUUCCUAUCGUCUUGGGAAGGAGCAUCAGAAAUUCCAGAGAGACUGAAGACAGACCUCUCAGUAACUGGAGACCUGACCGGCCUUGCCUACUGAGCUUGGGGGAAAACUGGAUGCAGAUGAGUUGAUUAUAUUCCAUGAAGUCAUAGCUCUCCACCUGCCAGGGUUUAAACUACUUCUGUAGCAUCACUUCACCUGUGGACUCUUUCAAAUUUUGCUUUGUUGGGGGGAAAAAAAAACUGGGGUAAGAAGAGGUUGUUUUUAACAAGUUAUCAUCCUCUCCCUCCCUUAUAAGUUGCUGCAAAGGAUCAGGCUGUGACUCCAUUGGGUCGCUCCUUCACAUCAAAAUAGGAGA
rnacentral:lncRNA from 1 species